rnacentral:SRP_RNA from 1 species
GCUGGGCGUGGUGGCACACGCCUGUAAUCCCAGCACUCGGGAGGCUGAGGCAGGAGGAUUGCUGUGAGUUGAGACUAGCCUGGACUACAAAGUGAGUUCUGGGUCAGUCUCAACUACACAGUGAGACCCUGUCUCAA